AGAAUUAGAGGAUUGCAAACC
rnacentral:miRNA from 1 species